AGCGAACGGACGAGAAGCUUGCUUCUCUGAUGUUAGCGGCGGACGGGUGAGUAACACGUGGAUAACCUACCUAUAAGACUGGGAUAACUCCGGGAAACCGGAGCUAAUACCGGAUAAUAUUUUGAACCGCAUGGUUCAAAAGUGAAAGACGGUCUUGCUGUCACUUAUAGAUGGAUCCGCGCUGCAUUAGCUAGUUGGUAAGGUAACGGCUUACCAAGGCAACGAUGCAUAGCCGACCUGAGAGGGUGAUCGGCCACACUGGAACUGAGACACGGUCCAGACCCCUACGGGAGGCAGCAGUAGGGAAUCUUCCGCAAUGGGCGAAAGCCUGACGGAGCAACGCCGCGUGAGUGAUGAAGGUCUUCGGAUCGUAAAACUCUGUUAUUAGGGAAGAACAUAUGUGUAAGUAACUGUGCACAUCUUGACGGUACCUAAUCAGAAAGCCACGGCUAACUACGUGCCAGCAGCCGCGGUAAUACGUAGGUGGCGAGCGUUAUCCGGAAUUAUUGGGCGUAAAGCGCGCGUAGGCGGUUUUUUAAGUCUGAUGUGAAAGCCCACAGCUCAACCGUGGAGGGUCAUUGGAAACUGGAAAACUUGAGUGCAGAA
rnacentral:rRNA from 1 species